CUAUCCUAUUAAUAGGAUAGGAGCACUUGUCCUAUCAAAUUGUUCUUGGUGAUCGAGAUUCCGAAUCGAUGAUUGGAGCUGUUGAAGUUGAUCUAGAGUAUUUGAAAUAUCUAGAAACUAAAUUUCAUAAAUUUUAAAAAUUAUUUACAUGAUGAUGAAAGUGUCGUAAAAUCGACAAUUUUUGACGGCCUAUAUGAGCCGUUUGCUUGUUUAACGGUGUGGAGCAAUCCAAAUUGCUUGAAUUUUUAAUAGAAAAUUCUUUAUACUAUUUAGAUAAUAUUUGAUAACUCUGAUUAUGACUUGAGAAAAUCUAACCUCUAUUUUAAGAAAGUUAUUCAUUUAUGACCGUUCAUUUUUUAACUCUUAAGAUGAACUUGAUAAUGAUUUUUAAAUAUUAGAAAGUUUGGUUUCUAAACAUUUCUAAUUAUGUAGAUCAAUUUCAACUGUACUGAUUAUCAAUUUGAAGUUCCGAUCAAUUAAAACGACUUGAUAGGACAAUGGCUCCAAUCCUAUUAAUAGGCCAGAUAGUAGCCCGACUCUAUAUAUAUUUAUGUACAUGCCUUUCUUAUU
rnacentral:lncRNA from 1 species